rnacentral:misc_RNA from 1 species
AAGCAUAGUCCUCUUACCCGGCGAUCCUCUAUCUCCGCUUUGGUGAGUCGUUUAAAGGUUUUUUGAGUUGGAGAAUUGGCUGAAUUGCUUAGCGUUGGCUUUGAUGAUGUAGGCGUGAAUCUUUUUGGGCCUCCUCUCCUCUCAAAGAGUCGGGUUAGGCUUAUUGCACUAGUUAAAUCCUGAGGCCUGUGUAACUCCACCUCCAUUGCGAUAUACUUCUGCAAUCUGCUAACAAAAUUUUAA